UUCCAUUUUAUCGGAUGUCCCCGAAGGAACGAUACAGAGAAGAUUAGCAUGGCCCCUGCGCAAGAAAAAGAAAAAAGAAAAAAGAAAAAAAAAGGUAUU